rnacentral:rRNA from 1 species
CCCAGACUCCUACGGGAGGCAGCAGUGGGGAAUAUUGCACAAUGGGGGGAACCCUGAUGCAGCGACGCCGCGUGAGCGAAGAAGUACCUCGGUAUGUAAAGCUCUAUCAGCAGGGAAGAAAAUGACGGUACCUGACUAAGAAGCCCCGGCUAACUACGUGCCAGCAGCCGCGGUAAUACGUAGGGGGCAAGCGUUAUCCGGAUUUACUGGGUGUAAAGGGAGCGUAGACGGCAUGGCAAGUCAGAUGUGAAAGCCCGGCUCAACCCCGGGACUGCAUUUGAAACUGUCAGGCUGGAGUGCAGGAGAGGUAAGUGGAAUUCCUAGUGUAGCGGUGAAAUGCGUAGAUAUUAGGAGGAACACCAGUGGCGAAGGCGGCUUACUGGACUGUAACUGACGUUGAGGCUCGAAAGCGUGGGGAGCAAACAGGAUUAGAUACCCCGGUAC